CACGUAGGUGGCGAGCGUUGUCCGGAAUUACUGGGUGUAAAGCGCGUGUAGGCGGGAGGCCAAGUCUGCGGUGAAAUCGCUCGGCUCAACUGGGCGGGGUCCGUGGAAACUGGUCACCUGGAGGACGGUAGAGGCGAGUGGAAUUCCCGGUGUAGUGGUGAAAUGCGUAGAGAUCGGGAGGAACACCAGUGGCGAAGGCGGCUCGCUGGGCCGGACCUGACGCUGAGACGCGAAGGCGUGGGGAGCGAACGGG
rnacentral:rRNA from 1 species